UACGAAGGGGGCUAGCGUUGUUCGGAAUUACUGGGCGUAAAGCGCACGUAGGCGGAUUGUUAAGUGAGGGGUGAAAUCCCAGGGCUCAACCCUGGAACUGCCUUCGAUACUGGCGGUCUGGAGUCCGGGAGAGGUGAGUGGAACUCCUAGUGUAGAGGUGAAAUUCGUAGAUAUUAGGAAGAACACCAGUGGCGAAGGCGGCUCACUGGCCCGGUACUGACGCUGAGGUACGAAAGCGUGGGGAGCAAACAGGG
rnacentral:rRNA from 1 species